UGCUAAAUGGAUUCCUCCCUCACCCUGGCA
rnacentral:piRNA from 1 species